GCAUAUCAAUAAGCGGAGGAAAAGAAACCAACCGGGAUUGCCUCAGUAACGGCGAGUGAAGCGGCAAGAGCUCAAAUUUGAAAGCUGGCCCCUUCGGGGUCCGCAUUGUAAUUUGCAGAGGAUGCUUCGGGUGCAGCCCCCGUCUAAGUGCCCUGGAAUGGGCCGUCAGAGAGGGUGAGAAUCCCGUCUGGGAUGGGGUGCCUGUGCCCGUGUGAAGCUCCUUCGACGAGUCGAGUUGUUUGGGAAUGCAGCUCUAAAUGGGUGGUAAAUUUCAUAUAAAGCUAAAUAUUGGCCGGAGACCGAUAGCGCACAAGUAGAGUGAUCGAAAGAUGAAAAGCACUUUGAAAAGAGAGUUAAACAGCACGUGAAAUUGUUGAAAGGGAAGCGCUUGCGACCAGACUCGCCUCCGGGGUUCAGCCGGCAUUCGUGCCGGUGUACUUCCCCGGGGGCGGGCCAGCGUCGGUUUGGGCGGCCGGUCAAAGGCCUCCGGAAUGUAGCGCCCUUCGGGGCGCCUUAUAGCCGGGGGUGCAAUGCGGCCAGCCUGGACCGAGGAACGCGCUUCGGCUCGGACGCUGGCAUAAUGGUCGUAAACGACCCGUCUUGAAACACGGACCAAGGAGUCUAACAUCUACGCGAGUGUUCGGGUGUCAAACCCGUACGCGCAGUGAAAGCGAACGGAGGUGAGAGCCCCCCCGUGGGGCGCAUCAUCGACCGAUCCUGAAGUCUUCGGAUGGAUUUGAGUAAGAGCGUAGCUGUGGGGACCCGAAAGAUGGUGAACUAUGCCUGAAUAGGGCGAAGCCAGAGGAAACUCUGGUGGAGGCUCGCAGCGGUUCUGACGUGCAAAUCGAUCGUCAAAUUUGGGUAUAGGGGCGAAAGACUAAUCGAACCAUCUGGUAGCUGGUUCCUGCCGA
rnacentral:rRNA from 1 species